GCCGGAGACGAUGACUUUAGGAUAGAUCCGGCAGUCCGUGAGAUGGGGCAGUACAUUCAACUAUUAAGGGUUGGGUAAAAUACGAGAUAAAAAGAAAGCAUGAGAAUGAGACCAUUAAAAGGGAUAUAUUGAGUUCAUCAAAAGGAA